CAUUCUAAUUCCGUUGUUUUCAUUCUAAUUCCGUUGUUUUUUUAUUCAAACUCUGUUCUGUACAUUCUAAUUCCGUUGUUUUCAUUCAAAGUCUGUUCUGUACAUUCUAAUUCCGUUGUUUUCAUUCAAACUCUGUUCUGUAUAUUCUAAUUCCCUUGUUUUCAUUCAAACUCUGUUCUGUACAUUCUAAUUCCCUUGUUUUCAUUCAAACUCUGUUCUGUACAUUUCAAUUCUGUUGUUUUGAUUCAAAUUCCAUUGUUUUUAUUCAAACUCUGUUCUGUACAUUCUACUUCCGUUUUUCAUUCAAACUCUGUUCUGUACAUUCUAAUUCCGUUGUUUUCAUUCAAAGUCUGUUGUGUACAUUCUACUUCCGUUGUUUUCAUUCAAACUCUGUUCUGUAUAUUCUAAUUCCGUUGUUUUCAUUCAAACUCUGUUCUGUACAUUUCAAUUCUGUUUUUUUUUUAUUCUAAUUCCAUUGUUUUCAUUCAAACUCUGUUCUGUACAUUCUAAUUCUGUUUUUUUCAUUCAAACUCUGUUCUGUACAUUCUAAUUCCGUUGUUUUCAUUCUAAUUCUGUUUGUUUCAAUAUUCCAUUGUUUUCAUUCUAAUUCUGUUUUCAUUCAAACUCUGUUCUGUACAUUUCAAUUCAGUUUUUUUUAUUCUAAUCCCAUUGUUUUCAUUCAAACUCUGUUCUGUACAUUUUAAUUCCGUUUUUUUUCUUUCAAACUCUGUUCUGUACAUUUCAAUUCUGUUGUUUUGAUUCAAAUUCCAUUGUUUUUAUUCAAACUCUGUUUUGUACAUUCUACUUCCGUUUUUCAUUCAAACUCUGUUCUGUACAUUCUAAUUCCGUUGUUUUCAUUCAAACUCUGUUCUGUACAUUCUAAUUCCGUUGUUUUCAUUCAAACUCUGUUCUGUACAUUCUAAUUCCGUUGUUUUCAUUCAAACUCUGUUCUGUACAUUCUAAUUCCGUUGUUUUCAUUCAAACUCUGUUCUGUACAUUUCAAUUCAGUUUUUUUUAUUCUAAUUCCAUUGUUUUCAUUCAAACUCUGUUCUGUACAUUCUAAUUCCGUUUUUCAUUCAAACUCUGUUCUGUACAUUCUAAUUCCGUUGUUUUCAUUCAAACUCUGUUCUGUACAUUCUUAAUUCCGUUGUUUUCAUUCAAACUCUGUUCUGUACAUUCUAAUUCCGUUGUUUUCAUUCAAACUCUGUUCUGUACAUUCUAAUUCCGUUGUUUUCAUUCUAAUUCCGUUGUUUGUUUUAAUAGUCCAUUGUUUUCAUUCUAAUUCUGUUGUUUUCAUUCAAAUUCCGUUGUUUUCAUUCAAAUUCCGUUGUUUUCAUUCUAAUUCCUUUGUUUUUUUUAUUCAAACUCUGUUCUGUACAUUCUAAUUCCGUUGUUUUCAUUCAAACUCUGUUCUGUACAUUCUAAUUCCGUUGUUUUCAUUCAAACUCUGUUCUGUACAUUCUAAUUCCUUUGUUUUCAUUCAAACUCUGUUCUGUACAUUCUAAUUCCGUUGUUUUCAUUCAAACUCUGUUCUGUACAUUCUAAUUCCGUUGUUUUCAUUCAAACUCUGUUCUGUACAUUCUAAUUCCGUUGUUUUCAUUCAAACUCUGUUCUGUACAUUCUAAUUCCGUUGUUUUCAUUCAAACUCUGUUCUGUACAUUCUAAUUCUGUUGUUUUGAUUCAAAUUCCAUUGUUUUUCCAUUGAACUGAAUUUGAAUCAAAACAAUGGUAUUUGAAUGAAAACAACAGAAUUAGAAUGAAAACAAUGGACUAUUAAUACAUUCUAAUUCCGUUGUUGUCAUUCAAACUCUGUUCUGUACAUUCUAAUUCUCUUGUUCUCAUUCAAAUUCCUUUUUUUUUCAUUCAAACUCUGUUCUGUACAUUUCAAUUCUGUUGUUUUCAUUCAAAUUCCAUUGUUUUCAUUCAAAUUCUGUUCUGUACAUUCUAAUUCCGUUGUUUUCAUUCAAACUCUGUUCUGUACAUUCUAAUUCCGUUGUUUUCAUUCAAACUCUGUUCUGUACAUUCUAAUUCCAUUGUUUUGAUUCAAACUCUGUUCUGUACAUUCUAAUUCCAUUGUUUUCAUUCAAACUCUGUUCUGUACAUUCUAAUUCCUUUGUUUUCAUUCAAACUCUGUUCUGUACAUUCUAAUUCCGUUGUUUUCAUUCAAACUCUGUUCUGUACAUUCUAAUUCUGUUGUUUUCAUUCAAAGUCUGUUCUGUACAUUCUAAUUCCGUUGUUUUCAUUCAAACUCUGUUCUGUACAUUUCAAUUCCGUUUUUUUUAUUCUAAUUCCGUUGUUUUCAUUCAAACUCUGUUCUGUACAUUCUAAUUCCGUUGUUUUCAUUCAAACUCUGUUCUGUACAUUCUAAUUCCGUUGUUUUCAUUCUAAUUCUGUUUGUUUCAAUAUUCCAUUGUUUUCAUUCUAAUUCUGUUUUCAUUCAAACUCUGUUCUGUACAUUUCAAUUCAGUUUUUUUUA
ensembl:lncRNA